AGCUGCAGUCGAGAUCUUUCGCAUGGGCGCAGCCUGACGAAGCGACGCUGUGUGAGCGAUGAAGGCCUUCGGGUUGUAAAGCUCUUUCGCUCAGGAACAAGAAAGUGUGGUGAAUAACCCCAGUCAGACUUGAGGGUACUGGGUAAGAAGCACCGGCUAACUCC
rnacentral:rRNA from 1 species